rnacentral:tRNA from 2 species
GCCGCUGUGGCUCAGCCUGGUAGAGCGAUUCCUUGGUAAGGAAUAGGUCGCGGGUUCAAAUCCCGCCAGCGGCU